AGUUUCAUCUGGGUGUUCAUCUAAGAAGAAAUCUGGUAUCAAGGGAUGGCCUGAAAAAUUAACCACCAAAUAGUAAGACGGUCUCUCACUGGAUCUGGAGCUCACUGAUUCAGUUAGACCAACGGCCCAGCAAGUCUGUCCCCGUCUCCCAGCUCUGUGAUUAGAAGCGUGCAAAACGUACUCAGCCUUUUACUACAGAACAGCAGUGACAAAGACUCAUGGUUCUGGCACCAAAGCCGACGUGGAGGCCAGCAGAAGAGAACUGAAGGUCCAGAGAGAAACCCACAGAGCUGCAGUCACCUGACCUGUGACCUGAUCCACACUCAAGUCCUCACGUUUGCACAGAAAGCCCUUUACACACUCAGCCACUUCCUCAGACCCCGAAGGUCUUUUUCUUUGCUUUUCUUCUGCUGCUUUUUGAAACAUAGUCUCACUAUGCAGGCCAGGCUAGUCUUGAACUCACUGUUUCCCAAGUGCUGGAAUUAAAGGCAUGUACCACCACA